rnacentral:rRNA from 1 species
UACGUAGGGAGCAAGCGUUGUCCGGAAUCAUUGGGCGUAAAGCGCGCGUAGGUGGCUUCGUAAGUCCGUUGUGAAAGUCAAAGGCUCAACCUUUGAAAGCCGAUGGAUACUGUGAAGCUAGAGUCCGGAAGAGGAGAGUGGAAUUCCUGGUGUAGCGGUGAAAUGCGCAGAUAUCAGGAAGAACACCCGUGGCGAAGGCGGCUCUCUGGGACGGUACUGACGCUGAGACGCGAAAGCGUGGGGAGCGAACAGG